CUACGGGCGGCUGCAGUGGGGAAUAUUGGGCAAUGGGCGAAAGCCUGACCCAGCAACGCCGCGUGAGGGAAGAAGGUUUUCGGAUUGUAAACCUCUGUCCUUGGUGACGAACACAAUGACGGUAGCCAAGGAGGAAGCCCCGGCUAACUACGUGCCAGCAGCCGCGGUAAUACGUAGGGGGCAAGCGUUGUCCGGAUUGACUGGGCGUAAAGGGCGUGUAGGCGGCCGAUUAAGUCUGGAGUGAAAGUCCUGCUUUCAAGGUGGGAAUUGCUUUGGAUACUGGUUGGCUUGAGUGCGGAAGAGGUAAGUGGAAUUCCCAGUGUAGCGGUGAAAUGCGUAGAGAUUGGGAGGAACACCAGUGGCGAAGGCGACUUACUGGGCCGUAACUGACGCUGAGGCGCGAAAGCGUGGGGAGCGAACAGGAUUAGAUACCCCAGUAGUC
rnacentral:rRNA from 1 species